GCAGCGCGCGGGGUGUGUCGUGUCCCCGUUACAGUAAAUACGAGUUACUGCAAGACAGAGCCAAUGAUAACGAACACCGAUGGAGCUCGCGCUUAACCAUCGACGCGACUUUGGAGCAACUUUUAAGUGUCGUCGCGUGCAUGUUAGUAGCAGCCAACCAACCCUGGCUGGAGGGAUGCACUGUACAUACACACAAUACUGGAAAAUAUGAUUAGCAAGCCCACCCUGGCUUUGCUGGACAGUAGGAGCACCAUCACCCUGGCCUGGCUAAUGAUCCUGAUCCAGGCCCCUAGGGCGGGGCCAUCUCAAACUCCUUUGUGCAGAAGGAUGUCCAUGAAGUCCAUGCCACCAAAGUCUGUAAAGGGCAAACACCUCAGGACAUCCAGCUGCACAGACUAAUGGAAUGGAGGAACUAUGAUAAUACAUCUGAAACAGUGCUUGCCGCUGUGCUCGUCUAAACCUUCUAGGGAGAGGAACACCCCAUGUUGUAUGUCAUUUAGAAACUGACAACUGCUGACUAGAGAUAUGUCACAGUAGAACGAGAAGUCUUGGCUACGAAAUGGUCUGCUGAAGAACUUGCAGACAGCAACUUUCUCCUUUCACAUACCAUGGUCCAUUUCAGAAAAUGGCUUGACACAAUUGCCUAUGUAGCCUGUUGGUCUCUCUCUUUACAGAACGUCUGAUUUAAGGUUUAGCACCAAGCAGGGGCCAACCACAGCAAUUCAGAUGGGCUAGGUAUGGGCUCUCUCUUUACAGAACGUCUGAUUUAAGGUUUAGCACCAAGCAGGGGCCAACCACAGCAAUUCAGAUGGGCUAGGUAUGGGUUAUGGGCACAAACACCAACGUCAGUAGGCCAUAGCUAAGGGGGGUACUGUGAUCACAUGCCUCCAGCCCACACCCACCAGGGAGAGCACUCUCCUAGCAUGACUGCAGUGAGUUACAACAAUAAAAUGCAGAUAAUUUUGGUUUCUCAAAUAUCUAAACAUAGAUUCUGUUUAAUCUAUUUUAAGCAAUAUUAUUUUUCGAUGAAAUGAAACAGGAUUCAGACCAGAUCUGUGUCUGUGUACUCC